rnacentral:rRNA from 1 species
GACGGAGGAUGCAAGUGUUAAUCGGAAUUACUGGGCGUAAAGCGUGCGCAGGCGGUGAUGUAAGACAGAUGUGAAAUCCCCGGGCUCAACCUGGGACCUGCAUUUGUGACUGCAUCGCUAGAGUACGGUAGAGGGGGAUGGAAUUCCGCGUGUAGCAGUGAAAUGCGUAGAUAUGCGGAGGAACACCGAUGGCGAAGGCAAUCCCCUGGACCUGUACUGACGCUCAUGCACGAAAGCGUGGGGAGCAAACAGG